UACUUUUAAAAUUGUAGCUCUGCUACCUCAUCUGUCAGGUUAAUUUCACCAAUGUUUUCCAUUUCCUUCUGUUGAAAACCAUUUAAAUGACGGUGUUUAACACGAAGCCUCAUUUUAGUGUACUGUUUAUUUAAGACAAUUGAUGCAAUGAAAGAAUUUGGUUCUCUUUUUCAAAAGUUUCAGGAUUUUUACUACCCAGAUAUAGCCUUCGUAAAUGACCUGUUAGUUAACAUAAAUAUUCUUUAGGUUGAUAAAUCUCAUAGUCUUGUAAAUAUUCUUGUUCUUAAAACUGGAAUGAAGGUUGUAGGCUGCAUAUUUUCAUUCUAUACUCAUUGAAUAGAGGAUACUGUCCACCUACUAUCUCCACCUCACUGAAGUAGUCAGUCAUAAGCAAAAAUUUAUUUACCAUAAACAUUCUGCUUGUUUGGUCCCUUUACCAAGAUUAAGAAAACACGAAAAAAUCAAAACAAAUGACUGCCCGGACUCGAGUGCUGGCAGUUGCCCCGGAUGACUUGCCGGACCAAGGGCAGAGAGAAAGCCAGCGUCUCUCUGGCAGUCAGGGACGUACAGGAGCUACACUGCCAACCCGGGUUUGCUUUGGCCCGGUUAAGGCGAAAUGCGGUAUCUUCUAUUCCCUCAGGCUGCUUUCUGAUACGGGAGAAGCAGAAGACCUAGAAGACAUGAUUGCUUGAACGUUUUUACUUCUUGAAUGUCACGUUUUGAGGCUGAUGCACCCACCUACAAGUGAUCCCAGUUUCUAGAAGAAACCCAUGCAGCUCUGGGACUUCAGGACAUAUGGAAUCUGCAUCUUUGUUGCUGACUCCCACUUCUGUUUUAAAAGGCAGCAAGAUAAACAGCCACUAUGGAAGGAUUCUCCUCUGCUGUAUGGUCAGGCAAGCCAUGUCUUCUCAGCAUGAUCAGGACGAUGAUUCUUGACAGAGCUAAAAUUUUCCAAGGAAGAUAUUAAUUAACUUUCAUUAGAGGUAAGAAUGCCAAUAUCAUGUUUUUUUCAAUAAGCAGCAAAGACCCACAGACACAUUUUGGACGUGUGGUAAACACCUGCAAAGUAGGCUGAGAGCCUGACUCCUUCCUCCACUCAGGUCUCCAGUUCUUUCUCAGCUCUUCAUAGAUAAAGUGUUGGCUCUGUUAGAGUCAACAGGAGAUAGGCCUUUAAUUUGAGCAAGUCCAGGAUUUUACAUCAUAAACCUGAAACUCAUUUUAUAGUCUCUUCCAGACAGCACCAUGGAAAGAAGGAAGUAUUGUUUUGCUUCCACAGUGAUUGAUCUGAGGUUUUCCUCAUAUUUGAAUGAAAUAUGGAGCCGUAUGUCUGAGAACAUGUGCAAGAGACCAAACAUUCAUCCUCAUAAUACUACUAAGAACCUAUUUGCCUUCUUUUUCUUCUUUUGGUAGAAAUAUAUGGAAUACAUUUUAAUCAAGACUGGCCAAUUGGAUUGAAGUGUCUUGAAUAUUCAGCAAAAUUUGCAAGUAUUUGGCAGUUUGUUCUUUUACUUUCAUAAUGAAUUUAGCUAUGCUACCUUCUGUUUCUGUCCAGAAGCAGAGGGACUAAUACUUUACAUGAAAUAUGGCUCCUAGAUAGUCCUUAGCCUCCGUAGAAGAAAUUUCAAAAAAGAUAUCUAGAACUUAGAUAUUUAGAGAGCACAUUUGCAGAUUACUUCAGCAUCUCAGCUUUUGGAUACCGAUUAUCAGAAACAAAUCCCUGUAUCUGAAGGCUUGCCUACCACCUACUUGGUUGAACUAUGAUGCUUACCAGGGACUUUGUAAGGGCUUAAAUUUUAGUCUGGACUGAAAGUUCUUGUUGUGUCUUUGGAACUAUGUCUCAGCAAAACAAAACAUAAGAAAACAAUAAUCUAAAAUGGCUUUCAUUGAAAUUGAAUUAGAAUUAGGUAUUGUGGGUCACCAUCUGUCAGAUGUCCUGUGCUUGAGGUCAUUGGAUUAGACCUUGACAACACUGAUAAGAUUAAUUUGUCAUUCCUGGUGUUGAGUUGCAGAUUUAUGGAUUUGGCUUCUACUGGGAGUAGCUCCAAGGAUAGGAGGAAAAACAGCUUAUAAAUUCUUCAGAGCUCUUUGGAGCCAAGAGUUACUUUUUGCCUGGCUUUGUAAGUGAUAUUAUUUAAAGGGUAUUUGGAGACAUAAGAAUAAUUGAAGAGUAAAAUAAAGAGUGAAAAAUAAAGGAAAGUUAUUUCUCUUAUAGAGUAACUGAUAAAAACUGCAUUCAUGAUUAUCUCCAGAAAUGUUUCUCAUCACAAGUAAACAUUCUGUCUUUGCUUUAAGAGUAAGCAUUCUUCAGGCAGAUCACUCAUUGACUCAGCUACAUUUACUACUCUGUUAUCACUCAUUUCCUUGGAACAUAUUUGUGAGAAAUAAACAAUUGUAUUUUACUAAGAUUUAUUGGACUUUGAUUAUUGGACUUUGGCCAAUAAAUUCCAUUGACUAAUUAUCUUUUAAAAUGUCCAAACCAAAGCUGGCUGAGAAAGACAGACAAAGAAUGACAGGUUUUUGUUCACAAGAAAAGAAAAUAUGUCAGCAAGUCAAAUAAUGUAGGUUUUAUUUGGGAGCAUGGAGUAAGUACUUCUUGUCACUUAGUGAAUUGAAACAGUUACUGAGAUUUUGCAGAACCAUCAUGGAAGAGUCUUUCAGACCUUGUUUCACUUCUAGCUGAUAAAGAUCUAAUGAAAGUAGUGGGGUUCUGAGAAAAUGCUCCACAGGCUAUGGAGACAUUCAGAUUUUAAUAUUUUUGGUUCAUCAUCCAUCUGAAAGAAUCCAAUAGAAUCCCAAGUCAGGAAUUCUGUCUGUUGAGAUCAUGAAACCCAGUAUGACAGAAAACUUCUUGUUUUAACUUUGGUAGACUUCAUAGGUUACUAGUGCUAGAUGGAGCUGUGGGGAGCAGGUGUCAGGAAAUGCAGUAGUAAUGAA